rnacentral:sRNA from 1 species
AAAUUACACUGUUGGCGUUGUAAGAGUUAGAUUUGAAGGAAGGAUAGACUGGUAGUAAGAUGACCAAUUGAGAGGCUGUUACAACAGUCCAGACAAAAGGUAAUGAGUGCCUGAAAUAGGGCAGUGUCAUUUGAAACAGAGUAAGAUGGCCAACUACAUGUUCAAGAUGUUUAGGAGGCAAUCUUGUUUGGACAGGCUCCACCAGUUCCUCUAAAACUGAAGCCUGAUUACUGGAGUGACAAACUACAGAAAGAAGCAGAGGCGUUUGCUUAUUAUCGCCGGACACACACUGCCAAUGAGCGGCGGCGGCGUGGUGAAAUGAGGGAUCUCUUUGAGAAAUUAAAGAUCACAUUGGGAUUACUUCAUUCUUCCAAGGUUUCCAAAAGUCUCAUUCUUACUCGAGCCUUCAGUGAAAUUCAGGGACUAACAGAUCAGGCAGACAAAUUGAUAGGACAGAAAAAUCUCCUGACUCGAAAACGGAAUAUUCUGAUACGGAAAGUAUCGUCUCUUUCAGGUAAGACAGAAGAAGUGGUCCUGAAGAAGCUAGAGUAUAUUUAUGCAAAACAGCAAGCACUAGAGGCACAAAAAAGAAAAAAGAAGAUGGGAUCAGAUGAGUUUGACAUGUCUCCCAGAAUUAGCAAACAGCAGGAAGGAUCUUCUGCAUCAUCUGUAGAUCUUGGACAGAUGUUUAUAAAUAACAGGAGGGGGAAACCUUUGAUUCUUU